GCCGCGAUAGCUGAGUUAGUAAAUUAUCUACCCGAUAAGCGGAAUGUCACCGGUUCAUUUCCGGAUCGCGGCA
rnacentral:tRNA from 1 species